AGAAUUACUUGACCGGUAACUUGUCUCCAUCCAUUGGCAAUUUAACUCGCAUGCAAUACCUGAGUAUUGGCAUUAAUUCACUAUCGGGGGAACUUCCUAAGGAACUCGGGUUGCUCACUGACCUAAGAUCCAUUGGUUUUGGAUCAAACAACUUCUCUGGUCCUCUGCCAUCUGAGCUUGGGAAUUGUACGAAGCUACAACAAAUUUAUUUUGAUAGCUCUGGAGUUAGUGGUGACAUUCCUUCAACAUAUGCUAACCUAAAGAGCAUGGUUACUGUGUGGGCAUCAGACAAUGAACUUACUGGCGGGAUACC
rnacentral:misc_RNA from 1 species